rnacentral:rRNA from 1 species
AUGGUCAUUGGCUCAUUGCCGUCGGUAUUGAUUUUGCCAGUAGCUACUGCUAGUUUUGAAAGGGUAUUCUCUUCAAUUAGCCAUGUGAAGAAUAAACUAAGGAAAAAAAUGGGUGAUGAAUAUUUGAACAAUUGUUUGCUUACAUUUGUUGAGAGAUAA